AAGAAAAGGUCAGGAUAGCUCAGAAGGUA
rnacentral:tRNA from 1 species